GAAUGAUGAAUACAUCUGGAGGUACAGGUUUGCACCACUGUAAAUUUUCUUCCCAAUCCAUCGCGUGGUUUCCAUGGUCGUUUCUUCUUCAACGAGCAAGUUAAAAAGGAUAUGGUGCCAAGUGAGGAUCGGAGGACGUUGCUUGUUUGUUUUCGGAGUUGGUGUUUCUUCUUCUGAUUUGACCGACGGCCAAGUACAGGUCAGAGAGAUGGAUUGAAGAAUGAAGAAGAUGAAGAAGACUCGAGACUAAUUAAGUUAACUCUGUUCUUCUCUGUUUC